UAAGACGGAGGUCCCUAGCGUUGUUCGGAAUCACUGGGCUUAAAGCGCGUGUAGGCGGGGUGGCAAGUACCUUGUGAAAUCCCCGGGCUCAACCCGGGAAUGGCUCGGUAUACUGUCACUCUUGAGGCAGGUAGAGGUCACUGGAACCUUAGGUGGAGCGGUGAAAUGCGUAGAUAUCUAAGGGAACGCCUGUGGCGAAAGCGGGUGACUGGGCCUGCCCUGACGCUGAGACGCGAAAGCGUAGGGAGCAAACGGGAUUAGAUACCCCGGUAGUCUACGCCGUAAACGAUGCGCACUAGGUUCGAGGACCUCUGACGGUACUCGAGCCGAAACAAAAGCGAUAAGUGCGCCGCCUGGGGAGUACGGCCGCAAGGCUA
rnacentral:rRNA from 1 species